rnacentral:rRNA from 1 species
UACGGAGGUGGCAAGCGUUGCUCGGAAUCACUGGGCGUAAAGGGCGCGUAGGCGGGAUGGCAAGUCGGUCGUGAAAUCCUUCGGCUCAACCGAAGAACGUCGGCCGAUACUGCCGUUCUUGAGGGAUGCAGAGGAGAUUGGAAUUCCCGGUGUAGCGGUGAAAUGUGUAGAGAUCGGGAGGAACACCGGUGGCGAAGGCGGGUCUCUGGGCAUCUCCUGACGCUGAGGCGCGAAAGCGUGGGGAGCAAACGGG